AAGCCCCGCGAGAUUUGCCGCUCAAGGCGCGCCCGGGCGAGACUGCGCCCACCAAAGGAUCGCGAGAGCUGGGCAAGGGGUGGUCCCCAACUGACGUCAGCCUUGGUUACGGCCGAGCGUCGCUGCGUAGCAACCGGGAGUUCUCAUGGAGCAAAUAUCCCUUAUGAAGGCAAGGAUUUAAGGACUCAAGCUUGGGCUCAAAGCGAUUGUUUUCAUUCAUAGUAAAAUGGCAGGGUUGGUUCUCUGUGAGCCCAUAGAGCUUUACAACAUCUUGAACCAGUCCACGAAGCUCUCCAGGUUAACUGAGCCUAACUAUCUCUGUUUACUGGAUGCCCGUACAAAGCGUGAGUACAAUGAAAGCCAUGUGAUUACAGCAAGAAGGGUUAAACAGAAUCCUAUGGGGGAAUAUCUGGUACCUGAAUCAGUUGAGCUGGAGUGUGUCAAAUAUUGUGUCGUGUAUGAUGGCAAAACCAGCUUUUUGGAUGAUACCUAUUAUGAUGAUUAUGAGGAGAAGGAGAAGGAUGAAAAGGGGACUAAAGCUGCCUCAGAGACCUCAAGAUCUAAAUCCAGUUCUUCAUGUUCACAAAAUGCUGAGGUAGGGGCUGCCAUCCAGUGUGCCAGAGUCUUAGAGCAAUUAACCCGCCACCCUGUCCGCAUCCUGAAAGGAGGGUAUGAGCGCUUCACUGCGUGCUACCAUUUCUUGAGGACUCAGAAGAUAUUCUGGAUGCCUCAGGAACUGGAUGCUCUUCAGCCAUACCCUGUAGAGAUAUUGCCCGGUCAGUUAUAUAUGGGAGAUUGCAGACAGGCCUGUGACCAACAGAUUCAGAAGGAUCUGAAAAUCAAAGCACAAGUCAACAUCUCAGAGGAGAUUGCAACACUUUUCACAGAUGAAAGCAAAACACUUCAUGUGUCUGUGGCAGAUUCCCCCGACGCAGAUCUUUUUUCCUUUUUCCCCACCAUUUGUCACUUCAUAGAUGCUCAGAUGGCUCUUGGAGCAGUUCUGGUUUUCUCUACCCUGGGUCUAAGUCGGAGCAGCACGGCAGUAAUGGCCUUCCUCAUGCAUUCAUCCCAUUAUCCCUUAAAGGCCCUUUCUGCCCACUCAACCACAGGUCAGCACUGCAGUUGGGUCCUGAGGCAGGGGAGGGCUAAGGGAACAAAGAUACCAAGGCUGCCCAAGGGGGCUUGGAAAUACAUCCAGAAAUGCAAAACAAACAUGAGACCAAACCGUGGCUUUGUGCAACAGCUGUCAGACUGGGAAAGCCAAAUCUAUGGGUCAGCGAUCACAGAUAUCUCCGAACCACAUUAUUGAUAGGCAGCAAGGAGAGCAUCCAACAGGCAAAGAAGCUUUCCAUCUGUACCACCGUUUAAUUUGGGCUGUAUUGUUUGGAAGGAUCUCCAGACGUGAGCGCUGUGUGCAGUGCUGAAGGCUCGUGCCGAUUUACAAUGAAAGGGCAAACAAUCGAUGAAGUUAGCGCCUUAAGAGGAAAAUAAGCAAGGAAUGAACAGAUCCUCCCAAACACUGCACAGAGAUUUCCUCUCAUUAAAAAAUAUAACUCUAAUCUAACAAGAACAUCAAAAUAACACACUGGGGGGGGCUGAAGAUGGACUUCACGGUAUUGCAGAUGUAGCCACAGCCACAAGGAAAACAACAGUGAAAAGAAAGAAGGCAGAUGAUGGAGGAGGAAUACAAAAAUCUCCAGCAGGCUUGGAGGAAGAGAGGAAGAAUCUAGACCAUGUG